rnacentral:misc_RNA from 1 species
GGCAGUCUUGCUUAAACGUCUAAGCACCGUCUCACUUGAUGAUGAAGGCUUUGCAACAGUUAAACAGUUGUGUUGCAGGAUUGCUUGUAAGAUUGCUUUUUGAACUUUGAUUAUCUGACAUUGGGUAACAAUUAUCACAAUGUACCAUUCCAUGUUGCCUGUGCUUGGGAACCAAGACUGGAACGUCGUUGGUUGGUUCUUGCUAGUUGGGGACGUUGUUGUCCAUGACCAGAGC